CCUACGGGAGGCAGCAGUGAGGAAUAUUGGUCAAUGGACGAGAGUCUGAACCAGCCAAGUAGCGUGAAGGAUGACUGCCCUAUGGGUUGUAAACUUCUUUUAUAUGGGAAUAAAACGUUCCACGUGUGGGAUUUUGUAUGUACCAUAUGAAUAAGGAUCGGCUAACUCCGUGCCAGCAGCCGCGGUAAUACGGAGGAUCCGAGCGUUAUCCGGAUUUAUUGGGUUUAAAGGGAGCGUAGGUGGAUUGUUAAGUCAGUUGUGAAAGUUUGCGGCUCAACCGUAAAAUUGCAGUUGAAACUGGCAGUCUUGAGUGCAGUAGAGGUGGGCGGAAUGCGUGGUGUAGCGGUGAAAUGCUUAGAUAUCACGAAGAACUCCGAUUGCGAAGGCAGUUCACUGGACUGCAACUGACACUGAGGCUCGAAAGUGUGGGUAUCAAACAGGAUUAGAUACCCUUGUAGUC
rnacentral:rRNA from 1 species